rnacentral:lncRNA from 1 species
CAAUCCAAAACUCCAUGGUUUACAAAACUAAAUAUGUCUAUUUCUCUCUCAGGUGUCCUUACGUUGACUAGGGCUCUCGGGACUGGACGAAGAACAGCUGAUCUUGGCUCUGGGCUACAGGUUGGCUGCAGGACCACUCUAUAUGGCUCUCCAUUCUCCUUGAAACGGGAGAUACCUAAGGAAUAUUCUUCUCUUGGUGACUGGCAGGAGUGCAAGAGAACCAAACUGAACCAUUCAAAUCAAAAGAACAAAACAUCUUCCUUGAAUUCUCUGAAGUAUCAAGUGUCAUCUACCCUAAACAGCUUCUUCUAUGAGGCAGCCUUGCUGAGAGAAUGCUUUUAGGGGUCAAGAGGCUGUAAUGCAGACUAUAGGAAACACAAAUGUGUAAGAGGCCUAUCUCUAAGAGAAGACAGAGUCAUCAAAGACACCCAGUUGCGUGUGGGAGUCAUCACUGGGGGUUGAAUGAUCAGGCCAAAAACAACUGGGCAUGGCUCAGUUUCUGGAGCUGUUUCAUGUCAGGGUUAACUCCCACUUCAAAGAAACCCAGCAGACGGGAAAUGAAAGUUCAGGACAUCUUCCUUUGAAUCUGUUUUCAAAAUGGCUCAUGCAGUUUGCUGGCUGGUAUCUUGGAAAAGUGUACUUCAAGGUUCAUCAUUAUUAUUUGCCUUUUAUCAAGAGCCAAUAAUAUGCACUGAAGAUGCACGUGUACAUAUAAAUUAUUAUUCUUCACUUAUGAGGUUGGCGAUGAUAACACUGGUAUCCUUUUGGGAGAAUAUGUCUAGAAAACUUGAUGAGUGACCCACACACAUCCUCAAUAAGACUAGACCCAAAUCAAGUAGUUGGAAAAGUUAUUAAUAAGAGAUGAGACUUUCAUAGGGAGUCAGACCACCAGGAUCUGGAUACAAGUUUCACAGAAGGGAGCAAAUGAGCAUUUGAAGGAAAAAAGGAGGAAAACAAAGACACCUCCUUCCUCCUUUCUGCUCCUGUUGAGUCAAAUAGAAAUAGGCAGAUUGUCCCAACUGACCCAUCUGUGACUUCUUGGUAAACAGAUCUUCGUCUUGUAAAGAAAAUUAAAUCUCUCUGAGCAGCUUCAGACUCUGAUCCUUGGACUUCUGAUCCUCAGAUUUAUGAUGGUUAAUCUAUUCUCUCUGCACUGCCACAGAUCAUGUCUCUACCUGCUAAUCCAGAUUUAACUAGGCCAGUGAGCAUGAGAGUAGAAACAGGGGUCAUCUUAAUUGUUGAAAAUCAGUUUUGUCCAGCCCUAGCCUAAACCAACUAAUUUUGAAGUUACCAGGAGGUAUCCCAUAGCUCAGUAAAAUAAAAUAAGCACAUAAAACA